UACGGAAGGCAGCAGUGGGGAAUAUUGCACAAUGGGCGCAAGCCUGAUGCAGCCAUGCCGCGUGUAUGAAGAAGGCCUUCGGGUUGUAAAGUACUUUCAGCGGGGAGGAAGGCGAUGCGGUUAAUAACCGCGUCGAUUGACGUUACCCGCAGAAGAAGCACCGGCUAACUCCGUGCCAGCAGCCGCGGUAAUACGGAGGGUGCAAGCGUUAAUCGGAAUUACUGGGCGUAAAGCGCACGCAGGCGGUCUGUUAAGUCAGAUGUGAAAUCCCCGGGCUUAACCUGGGAACUGCAUUUUGAAACUGGCAGGCUUGAGUCUUGUAGAGGGGGUAGAAUUCCAGGUGUAGCGGUGAAAUGCGUAGAGAUCUGGAGGAAUACCGGUGGCGAAGGCGGCCCCUGGGACAAAGACUGACGCUCAGGGUGCGAAAGCGUGGGGAGCGAAACAGGAUUAGAUACC
rnacentral:rRNA from 1 species